rnacentral:tRNA from 1 species
GCCGAAAUAGCUCAGUUGGGAGAGCGUUAGACUGAAGAUCUAAAGGUCCCUGGUUCGAUUCGGGUUUCGGCG